rnacentral:rRNA from 1 species
UACGAAGGGAGCUAGCGUUGUUCGGAAUCACUGGGCGUAAAGCGCACGUAGGCGGAUGUGUCAGUCAGGGGUGAAAUCCCGGAGCUCAACUUCGGAACUGCCUUUGAUACAGCACGUCUUGAGUCCGAUAGAGGUGGGUGGAAUUCCUAGUGAUAGAGGUGAAAUUCGUAAGAUAUUCGCAAGAACACCGGUGGCGAAGGCGGCUCUCGUGGACCGAUACUGACGCUGAGGCGCGAAAGCGUGGGGAGCAAACAGGAUUGAGAA